rnacentral:rRNA from 1 species
CGGACGGGUGAGUAAUGUCUGGGAAACUGCCCGAUGGAGGGGGAUAACUACUGGAAACGGUAGCUAAUACCGCAUAACGUCGCAAGACCAAAGAGGGGACCUUCGGGCCUCUUGCCAUCGGAUGUGCCCAUAUGGGAUUAGCUAGUAGGUAAGGUAACGGCUUACCUAGGCGACGAUCCCUAGCUGGUCUGAGAGGAUGAUCAGCCACACUGGGACUGAGACACGGCCCAG